rnacentral:tRNA from 1 species
AUCCAAAUAGCUUAUAUUUAGAGUAUGACACUGAAGAUGUUAUGGGGAUAAUUUUUUAUCUUUGGGUA